UACGUAGGGUGCGAGCGUUGUCCGGAAUUAUUGGGCGUAAAGCGCACGUAGGCGGCAUCGCAAGUCCCAUGUGAAAGCCCACGGCUUAACCGUGGAAGUGCAUGGGAAACUGCAGUGCUUGAGUACUUAAGAGGAUCGCGGAAUUCCCGGUGUAGAGGUGAAAUUCGUAGAUAUCGGGAGGAACACCAGUGGCGAAGGCGGCGAUCUGGGAAGAUACUGACGCUGAGACGCGAAAGCGUGGGGAGCGAACAGG
rnacentral:rRNA from 1 species